CUCCAGGAAUGCUUCAGAGGAACAAGAGACAAAAUUAUUCCAUGUGACUCAGGCCCAGCCUGGCCCACACCCGCUGUCCCUCUGUGCCUGAGAAGCAGUGGUGGCCAUCGCCGUGCCCCUGAAGGACACAUCUUUUCAGGCUCUACUGUGGAAUGAGUUCGUGUCCACCGAUCCAACCAUGGCUUUCAUGAUUUUUUUUUUUUCACCUCAGCUAUCUUACCUUUUGCCCCUAUCUUUUCCAUCACUAAAGGCCUAACUUCUCUAGUUUAUAAGGCUCUGAUUAGAAGUUCUCUGUGAGCAUUUGCUCUCAGCGUCCCGGGUUGCCUUUGGAAGUCUCCCUUCAUCCUGCCUUCACAGUUCUGCGCAUGGCUGUUCAGGGUGUGAAUAAACACUCUCAGCCAGGGGUGGCAUGACAGUCCCAAGGGACAGGGUGCCUGGUACACAGUAGGAGCUCAAUAAGAGUUGCUGUUGUGUGGCCUUGGAUGAGUCACCUGCCCUCCCUGGGCACCACUUUUGCCAUCAGCUCUCAUUUUUGCUAAUAAUGAUGAUGGAGGAAAAAGACAAAGAGAAGGAAGAAGAGAACACUAAGAGACACAUACGAAAGAAGAUGUAGUACAUGAUAUAGUGGUUGGGGCAAAAGAAAGAAGAAAGAGAGGAGGAUGGAAAAGCCAACCUCGAAACGUAAGAACAUAACAAAGAAGAAGAUCUGCAGGACCACAGGAGUCCCACAGGCACCCCUACACCAAAGGGCUCCUGGAUUCCAAGUAUUUGCUACAUGGGAAGGAAAGUCCCCAGCCUUGUCUUUCCUUUAGCACAACAAUGGACCCCUCCUUCCACUCCUGGUAACAUGAGAGGUCACAUCUCAUCAUGUCUCAAGCAUGUCUUCUCAUGUCUCAUCGCCCUCCACCUUGCUAGAAGAGGGAUUUGUGAGAUUUAGGGUGUGGGAACCUGGCCUGGGAGAGUACUGAGAGAUUCGACACCCUUUAGUGCUGACUUCUGCCUCCCUCCAAAGAUCAGAGCCUCCACGUCAUGCUGAUGGCAAGAGCCAGAGCCUAGACUGAACACCAAGGGUCCUGAUUCCCCAGCUAGUUCUUCAUCCUAUCUCCCGACACCCUCUACUUAUGAAGGAACAGCUCUUAGCCCUUCCAUUUGGAGAGGGCUUCCAAGUCAUGCCCACAUUGACCAUUUUCAAUAAUUCACCCUGGGAAGUGGGUGUCGUCUCCUCAUUUUGCAGAUCAAGAAGCUGAAGCUCAGCAGGAUUAACUGACUUGCUCAAGUCUUGAAUUCUGCCUCUUUAAUACAUAGCUGAACCACUUCUUUAUGGCAAACUCUGCACCAUGCUGAGCUCAAAGUGGCUUAAAUUGGGUCUUGAGUCCUGAGUCGAGGGAAUGAUGCAUUGAUUCUUCCCUUGGUUCCUGGAAGUCUUCUAGCUCUAAGGAGACACUGGCUGCUGUCUUCAAGCUCUGUGACUUGUCUCUUCCCAGAGCACUGUGGAGGAACCUGGAGCCCCUGGUACCCACCUGCUUGACCUGGGGGCUACAGGAUAUGCCUUAGGCUGUGACUCUUAGGAUUCCAUAACAGCCUCAUCAGUACUUUGUGUGCCUGACUUCCAUCUUCCAGUCCUGGCCUGGGGGAAUCCAUUUUCCUACUGUUCCGGAGACUUCCACACUGAGUGUCCAGAGGGCUGAACUUCUACAGAGGGUUUUUUUCCUAUGGUAUGGGGAUACCAUGCCUGUAUAAGGUCUUGGCCCUGGAACUUUGGCUACCAAGAUGUCAAAAUCUCUUUAUAUUUGAGUCUUUAUAAAACCAAAGUUUCUUCCAGA